CCUGGGCAGAACCGCUGUGGACACAGAGUGGCGAGGGGCCUCUAGCGGAGAUGGGGACCGGGAGGCGCCGGCCUCCUGCUCCUUGGCGAGGGACAGUGCGAUUCAUCCGCCAGGGAUGACUGCAGGUGAUGGCCACAGGAAGAGCGUGGCCGGCAUCCUCGCCACUACCGGAAAGGCAAUGAGCGGCAUUAAGAAGCAAUUGUCACCCUGCUUGGCAGGUGAGUUAAACAGUGGAGAGAGAGGGCCGCAGAGGGCUGCCCAAGACCACACCAGGUAGUGGUCUGGAUUUGAACUCAGGGCACGUCUGUAUCUGCUGCUGCGUUAUCCAGCCUCACAGGGGCUUGGGAAGGAGCUAGGGCACUGGGGGUGCCCCGAGGAGCUCCAGGACUCACUAAACCCCUUGGGCAGCAGAUGCACCAGGCCCCAGGCAUCCCUUUUGCCCCAGACCCUUCCUAGGCUUGCUCCUCUGCUGGACCUGUGCCUUUGACGGGGUUGCUCUCCUGCCGGGAACGCCUGACUGCCUGUUCUGCACUAACCCCAACGCACCCCACUUCUCCCCAGGCAGCCCCACCCCAACAGUCUCCCCGCACGCACUGCAUUUACUUCUGAGGGUCUGGGCUCAUUUUCCUGAGUGUCCGUCGUGUGGGUAGUGAGCCGCCUAGCCUCCCCAUACAAGGGCAGGCCUUCUGUUACUGUGAACCCUUGGGCACACAGCAGAUGCUCACUUAAUGUCGAAUGCCACCAAGAUCAAAUCAGACCAAAUCCACCUUCGUUCUGAAGCAGGAGUCGCGCUGGGGCCCCCGCGGGCACAGCCAGCAGAGCCUGGUUGGGUCGUCUCACAGGGAAGCCCCAGAUCAGACUCAAGACCUUGCCCGGGCCCCCCAGCCUCCGAUCCCAUGGGAAGCCAUCAAAGGGCACCCUCUUGCCCUGCACCCACAGCUGAGACCUGUCCACUUUGCUCUCCCACUGAUACCGCAAGUCCCAGAUGGUCAUACUCAGCUCCCCAGCCCGCCUCCUGGCACCCUCCUCGCCAUCCGCUGUUGCUGUGGGCUCUGGGAAUGAGACAAACACUUAAUAUCAGCCUGAGCCAAAAGUAAUUAGGGACAUCAAUCUGCUGCCCCAGUCCACGCCCACCCCUAUAUGCUGUGAAGGCAGAAAGAAAAUGUUCCUGAACCUUCGGGAGUGGCCUGGCCCUGGCCAGAGGCCAGGUCUGCAAGAGCAGGGCCCCUCCCUGGCCUGGGCCACGGGAGAGGCUUCGAGAUGAGUGUGUGUAUACGGCACAGUCGCCCCACAGCACAGCACACCCUGGUUUACGUUCCUUGCAAAGCAGAGCGUGAGCAGAGAGUUGGAGGUCGGCGACUUAAGGCACUCCCAGGAGUGGAAGUGAGACCCAGACGGAGGAAAAGCCAGUAGAAUAGUGUGUUCUCAAAGUCUCGGCUGGAAGCACCUAGGGAGGGGAGGGCUCCAUCCCCUAGCCCUCUGAGCCCUGAGACCUCCGCUGAGCUGCAGGUGCAAUCGGAGGGGUGGGGCUGCAGGAUGGGUUUCAAAUCCUGGAGCACUUGCAGCGUAGCCACGGGCUCCCCUGGGCGCGCCAGCGCCCUCUCCCCAGCCCCUGUGCCUUUUGCCCUUGGUCUCAGCAGGGGGAACCCCCACCCAUCUUUGAGACCCCACUCACAUGCCAUUAUCCCUACAUGGCUCUCCUUACACCACCUCCUUGGUGGCCUGAGUCACAUGUGUUAUUAAAUAGCAUAAUGAAA